rnacentral:rRNA from 1 species
UACGUAGGGGGCAAGCGUUGUUCGGAUUCAUUGGGCGUAAAGGGUGCGUAGGCGGCGCGGUAAGUCGGGUGUGAAAUCUCGGAGCGUUAACUCCGAAACUGCAUUCGAUACUGCCGUGCUUGAGGACUGGAGAGGAGACUGGAAUUUACGGUGUAGCGGUGAAAUGCGUAGAUAUCAGGAGGAACACCGGUGGCGAAGGCGGAUCUCUGGGCCAUUACUGACGCUGAGACGCGAAAGCGUGGGGAGCAAACGGG